GCGGGUAUGGCGGAAUCGGCAGACGCGCCGGAUUUAGGAUCCGGUGGGAGACCGUGCAGGUUCGACCCCUGUUACCCGCACCA
rnacentral:tRNA from 1 species